rnacentral:rRNA from 1 species
GAUGAACGCUGGCGGCGUGCCUAAUACAUGCAAGUCGAGCGAACGGACGAGAAGCUUGCUUUUCUGAUGUUAGCGGCGGACGGGUGAGUAGCACGUGGAUAACCUACCUAUAAGACUGGGAUAACUUCGGGAAACCGGAGCUAAUACCGGAUAAUAUUUUGAACCGCAUGGUUCAAAAGUGAAAGACGGUCUUGCUGUCACUUAUAGAUGGAUCCGCGCUGCAUUAGCUAGUUGGUAAGGUAACGGCUUACCAAGGCAACGAUGCAUAGCCGACCUGAGAGGGUGAUCGGCCACACUGGAACUGAGACACGGUCCAGACUCCUACGGGAGGCAGCAGUAGGGAAUCUUCCGCAAUGGGCAAAAGCCUGACGGAGCAACGCCGCGUGAGUGAUGAAGGUCUUCGGAUCGUAAAACUCUGUUAUUAGGGAAGAACAUAUGUGUAAGUAACUGUGCACAUCUUGACGGUACCUAAUCAGAAAGCCACGGCUAACUACGUG